UGGGUUAGGCCCCUAAUCUAUUGGUGUGAUAAUUAUCUACGCCGUGGGUUGGGUCGGCUAACUUUGACCUGCUUCUAACCGUCCUUCACUGGACAACUCUUGACAAUUUUGACCUCAAAUCAGGUAAGACUACCCGCUGAACUUAAGCAUACAAUAAGCGGAGGA
rnacentral:rRNA from 1 species